AUGGGUAAGGCGGAAUUGGUUUACGCGAGUUAUUUAGGCUAACUUGAUUUAUUAUCAUGUGAGUUCAAGUCUCACUACCCAUA
rnacentral:tRNA from 1 species